rnacentral:rRNA from 1 species
GSGGRUAGCGAUGCUUAUUCUUACGGUACCAUCAGCCCCGGUUCACGACCAGGGGUUUUUUCCCGUACAAAAGAAGUUUACAACCCAUAGGGCCGUCAUCCUUCACGCGGCAUGGCUGGUUCAGACUUGCGUCCAUUGACCAAUAUUCCUUACUGCUGCCUCCCGUAGGAGUCUGGUCCGUGUCUCAGUACCAGUGKGGGGGKGAAUCCUCUCAGAACCCCUAGACAUCGUCGCCUUGGUGAGCCGUUACCUCACCAACUAGCUAAUGUCGCGCAUGCUCAUCCAAAACCGCCGGAGCUUUAAUUAUAAUGAGAUGUCUCAUCAUAAUGUUAUGGGGUAUUAAUCCCGAUUUCUCGGGGCUAUCCCCCAGUUAAGGGUAGAUUGCAUACGUGUUACGCACCCGUGCGCCACUCGUCAGCAUCCAUUGCUGGACCUGUUACCGUUCGACUUGCAUGUAUUAGGCCUGCCGCUAGCGUUAAUCCUGAGCCAUGAUCAAACUCUAAUCGAAUUCCCGCGGCCGCCAUGGCGGCCGGGAGCAUGCGACGUCGGGCCCAAUUCGCCCUAUAGUGAGUCGUAUUACAUUYAYGGCC